rnacentral:rRNA from 1 species
GAUGAACGCUGGCGGCGUGCUUAACACAUGCAAGUCGAACGAAGCACUUUAUUUGAUUUCUUCGGAAUGAAGAUUUUGCGACUGAGUGGCGGACGGGUGAGUAACGCGUGGGUAACCUGCCUCAUACAGGGGGAUAACAGUUGGAAACGACUGCUAAUACCGCAUAAGCGCACAGGGUCGCAUGACCUGGUGUGAAAAACUCCGGUGGUAUGAGAUGGACCCGCGUCUGAUUAGCCAGUUGGUGGGGUAACGGCCUACCAAAGCGACGAUCAGUAGCCGACCUGAGAGGGUGACCGGCCACAUUGGGACUGAGACACGGCCCAAACUCCUACGGGAGGCAGCAGUGGGGAAUAUUGCACAAUGGGGGAAACCCUGAUGCAGCGACGCCGCGUGAGCGAAGAAGUAUUUCGGUAUGUAAAGCUCUAUCAGCAGGGAAGAAGAAAUGACGG